GGUUUGCUCAGAUUGAUCCUCUGAUGAUCUUUGGCCUUCUAAUGAUAUUGACUCUUUGAGGCUGGCAGUCUUGAUGGCCCAUACCUUGAGUUAUUUUUAUCUCAGCUUGAUCUUUAUUUUAUUUUUGAGUUUGAUAUCUAUCGUAGCCUUAUUUAAUUUUUGCCUCUACUCAUGUGCUCAAGAACCUGUUAUUCUACAAGAAAGAAAUAGAAUAGUGGAUUGGGCUUGAGAGCCUAUUACCAUAAAAGUUAUGAGUUUUGUUUGAGAGCCUUUGAAUUUUGCUCGACUCUUUCCUGUUAUUUGUCUCAGCUUGGACUUGAGCUUUACCUCAGU
rnacentral:lncRNA from 1 species